GUGGGGAAUUUUGGACAAUGGGCGCAAGCCUGAUCCAGCAAUGCCGCGUGCAGGAAGAAGGCCUUCGGGUUGUAAACUGCUUUUGUACGGAACGAAACGGUCCUGGCUAAUACCCGGGGCUAAUGACGGUACCGUAAGAAUAAGCACCGGCUAACUACGUGCCAGCAGCCGCGGUAAUACGUAGGGUGCGAGCGUUAAUCGGAAUUACUGGGCGUAAAGCGUGCGCAGGCGGUGCUGUAAGACAGGCGUGAAAUCCCCGGGCUCAACCGGGGAAUUGCGCUUGUGACUGCAGUGCUGGAGUGCGGCAGAGGGGGAUGGAAUUCCGCGUGUAGCAGUGAAAUGCGUAGAUAUGCGGAGGAACACCGAUGGCGAAGGCAAUCCCCUGGGCCUGCACUGACGCUCAUGCACGAAAGCGUGGGGAGCAAACAGGAUUAGAUACCCCUGUAGUCC
rnacentral:rRNA from 1 species